UACGAAGGGGGCUAGCGUUGUUCGGAAUCACUGGGCGUAAAGCGCACGCAGGCGGAUCGUUAAGUCAGGGGUGAAAUGCCGAGGCUCAACCUCGGAACUGCCUUUGAUACUGGCGAUCUUAGAGUCCGGGAGAGGUGAGUGGAACUCCGAGUGUAGAGGUGAAAUUCGUAGAUAUUCGGAAGAACACCAGUGGCGAAGGCGGCUCACUGGCCCGGUACUGACGCUCAGGUGCGAAAGCGUGGGGAGCAAACGGG
rnacentral:rRNA from 1 species